CUGCACCUCAAGUGGUCAGGAUGAUUAUUGGGCCUAAAGCAUCCGUAGCCGGCUCUGUAAGUUUUCGGUUAAAUCUGUAUGCUCAACAUACAGGCUGCCGGGAAUACUGCAGAGCUAGGGAGUGGGAGAGGUAGACGGUACUCGGUAGGAAGGGGUAAAAUCCUUUGAUCUAUUGAUGACCACCUGUGGCGAAGGCGGUCUACCAGAACACGUCCGACGGUGAGGGAUGAAAGCUGGGGGAGCAAACCGGAUUAGAUACCCGAGUAGUCC
rnacentral:rRNA from 1 species